GCGCCCGCCAGUAUUCUGGCGGGCAUGCCUGUUCGAGCGUCAUUACAUCCCUCAAGCCCCCGGGCUUGGUNNUGGGGAUCGGCGAGCNUCAGCGCCCGCCGUCCCCUAAAUUUAGUGGCGGUCACGCUGUAACUUCCUCUGCGUAGUAGCACACUUAGCACUGGGAAACAGCGCGGCCACGCCGUAAAACCCCCCAACUUUUGAACGUUUGACCUCGAAUCAGGUAGGACUACCCGCUGAACUUAAGCAUAUCAAUAAGCGGAGGAAAAGAAACCAACAGGGAUUGCCCUAGUAACGGCGAGUGAAGCGGCAACAGCUCAAAUUUGAAAUCUGGCCUUCGGGUCCGAGUUGUAAUUUGUAGAGGAUGCUUUUGGUGAGGUGCCUUCCGAGUUCCCUGGAACGGGACGCCAUAGAGGGUGAGAGCCCCGUCUGGUUGGACACCGAUCCUCUGUAAAGCUCCUUCAACGAGUCGAGUAGUUUGGGAAUGCUGCUCUAAAUGGGAGGUAUAUGUCUUCUAAAGCUAAAUAUUGGCCAGAGACCGAUAGCGCACAAGUAGAGUGAUCGAAAGAUGAAAAGCACUUUGAAAAGAGAGUUAAAAAGUACGUGAAAUUGUUGAAAGGGAAGCGCUCAUGACCAGACUUGGGCUUGGUUGAUCAUCCAGGGUUCUCCCUGGUGCACUCUUCCAGUUCAGGCCAGCAUCAGUUCGCUGCGGGGGAUAAAGGCUUUGGGAAUGUGGCUCCUUCGGGAGUGUUAUAGCCCAUUGUGUAAUA
rnacentral:rRNA from 1 species